CUCCAUCACGGCAAGUAGUAGCGGCAUUGGGGCAGCAGCAGUGAUCAAAAUGCGGUGAGGGAGAUUGUGGACAUUCUGCAGAUUUCAAGAAUUCUGAAUACUGGUUUACUGGAAACUCUGGUUAUUUGUGUACAGCUUUGUGAGCAAGGACUUAACCCAGAAUUAAUAAAUAACCAAGGAAAUAUCACUGGUUAUUAAGGAGCUUCGAAAGACUACCAAAGCACAAAAGGCUGCUGAAAACAUGACAA
rnacentral:lncRNA from 10 species